GCUAUGGGUUCAUUCCCUAGCACCACAAAUUAAUUAAUACCUACAGUGGUUGUUGUAAUUGAAAGUCCAAAUCCAUCAACAUGGUAUUUAAGAGUUUUUACUCUCCAAUCUUAAUCUUCCUUUUUCUAACCUACUAUAUCACUGUAUUUCUUCCACAUGGGUCCAAGUCCAAUAAGGUCUGGCAGAAUAUCUCUCUCUUUCCAAUGUUUUCCUCAUUCUAUUCUUUUACUUCCAAAAAAGAAAUGAAUAUCAGUUCCACUCUCUAUGCUUCCAUUAUAUAAUCUGUAAACGUCUCUUUUGUCUAUGACAGCUGACUCUCUGAAGAUUCUAAUUGCCCUAAUAUCUACCAUUAAUUUAGCAGAAUGCUGGUGUAUUUGAUAUGAUAUGCACAUCAGUAAGAAUAGACACUUAAUACUAGUACAUCUUCCUGAUUUUGAAAGUAAGCAAAAUAAACUAAAAAGGCUUCAGAGCUAGUACAGUGGUAUAAGGCCAAGUCUAAGCUCUUAUAUUCACCUAAUUCCUGACGUCCAUCCUGUUAGGCAUUUUGCUGAUUUGUCUAGCCAUACCUUUGCCUUCCCAGAACUUGCCCUUCAUAAGUGAUAUUGAUUAAAUGAAUACCCACUCCAGGUCACAUAGUAGUUUGGUCAGGCUGAUAGUAUGUUUCCACUCAAUGGAAAAGGCACCGUUCAUAAAAAUAUCUUUAAAAUCUCCAAAACAUACACACAU
rnacentral:lncRNA from 1 species